rnacentral:lncRNA from 1 species
AUUAUCUAAAACUCGACUGAAUCUCAUUAUCGGAUUAAGAUUGUUAAUACCAUUAUAUUUGUUUGUUGCAUUUUAUAUAAUGAUUUAUGGGGAGAGGAUCAAACUGAUGAACUUCUUCUAGAGAUUGAUAAAGAACUUCGAAAUGUUUCUCCAGACGAACAAAGUACAUGUAACUUUAGGGACAGUACUGAGGAAAUGA